rnacentral:rRNA from 1 species
GACGAACGCUGGCGGCGUGCUUAACACAUGCAAGUCGAGCGGAGCGGCGAACGGGUGAGUAACGCGUGAGUAACUGCCCCCCUCUCUGGGAUAACAGUUGGAAACGGCUGCUAAUACCGGAUAGUGGGGGAUGACUCGCGUCCUAUCAGCUUGUUGGUGGGGUAGGGGCCUACCAAGGCGACGACGGGUAGCCGGCCUGAGAGGGCGACCGGCCACUGUGGGCUGAGAUACGGCCCAAAGUCGUACGGGGGGGGGCAGUGGGGAAUAUUGAACAAUGGGCGAAAGCGUGAUGCAGCGAGGCCGCGUGGGGGAUGAAGGCUUUCGGGUUGUAAACCUCUUGCGCUAUCGAAAGGGUAGGUGGAGAAGAAGCGCCGGCUAACUACGUGCCAGCAGCCGCGGUAAUAC